GCACUCAUUUGCCCAAAUGCUACAGAAACGAUUCACCAUCCACCAUAAACCAAGCAUCAGAGCAGUGAUAGGACUCACAAUGAGACAAGUCCCAGUGAACAUGCCCAGGGCUUGUUUCUUCAAACUGAGAACCAGCCUAAAAGUGGUCAUUGACAAUGACGUUACAGAAGAAAUGAAGAAGAAAGAUUUAUUCUGGAAGAUAAGACCUUUUCUUGUUUGCAUUUGCCAGGGCUGCUUGCUUAAUAUCAAGUUAUCGAGUUAUCUUAUCUAUCAAGUUGAGGAGGACUCCAUUCACGUGGCCUGCAAAUGAGAAAUUGAGUUUUGGUUGUAGCAUGUCUGGCUGAAACCCUGUUUCCUGGUGCAAAGAUAUAGGUUACUGUAAUCGCUACUUUACGAACAUGAAGAUUGUAGAUUACAUGUUGGAGAACCAGAUGUACCUGACUGGUACAGUUAAGAAGAACCGUGUCACCGAGGCACUAA